rnacentral:rRNA from 1 species
AGCGGGAGGAGAGCAACAGGGAUUGCCCCAGUAACGGCGAGUGAAGCGGCAACAGCUCAAAUUUGAAAUCUGGCCCCCGGGUCCGAGUUGUAAUUUGCAGAGGAUGCUUCGGGCGAGGUGCCUUCCGAGUUCCCUGGAACGGGACGCCACAGAGGGUGAGAGCCCCGUCUGGUCGGACACCGAGCCCGUGUGAAGCUCCUUCGAAGAGUCGAGUAGUUUGGGAAUGCUGCUCAAAAUGGGAGGUAUAUGUCUUCUAAAGCUAAAUAUUGGCCAGAGACCGAUAGCGCACAAGUAGAGUGAUCGAAAGAUGAAAAGCACUUUGAAAAGAGGGUUAAAAAGUACGUGAAAUUGUUGAAAGGGAAGCGCCCAUGACCAGACUUGGGCCCGGUGAAUCACCCGGCGUUCUCGCCGGUGCACUUUGCCGGGCACAGGCCAGCAUCAGUUUGGCGCGGGGGACAAAGGCUUCGGGAACGUGGCUCCCCCGGGAGUGUUAUAGCCCGCUGCGUAAUACCCUGCGCCGGACUGAGGUACGCGCAUCGCAAGGAUGCUGGCGUAAUGGUCAUCAGCGACCCGUCUUGAAACACGGACCAAGGAGUCGUCUUCGUAUGCGAGUGUUCGGGUGUCAAACCCCUACGCGGAAUGAAAGUGAACGCAGGUGAGAGCUUCGGCGCAUCAUCGACCGAUCCUGAUGUUCUCGGAUGGAUUUGAGUAAGAGCAUACGGGGCCGGACCCGAAAGAAGGUGAACUAUGCCUGUAUAGGGUGAAGCCAGAGGAAACUCUGGUGGAAGCUCGCAGCGGUUCUGACGUGCGAAUCGAUCGUCAAAUAUGGGCAUGGGGGCGAAAGACUAAUCGAACCUUCUAGUAGCUGGUUUCCGCGAGUUUCUCUCUCUCCCCGAAGAA